UUCAUUUUCUGAGACCGGAAGUGGUCAUCAGCAAGUGUGGAGCCAAACGACACCAAGAUUCUCAGAGGGCGGAGCCAGAGAGCAGUGAUUGGUCAGACUGACUGAGAGCCAGAGACCAGUGAUUGGUCAGACAGCUCACUAGCGGAUCUAGUCUUCUAUAUAUAUCUAUGGUCGGAACGUAUGGUAGCAUCUCUGGCUGCUGUUGACCUUGUUUUUGGAGUAAAACAUGGUAAUCCACAGCUGUCACUGCAUUGGUGGUGGACCUGCCAAACAACAAUGCCUGCUGUGAUGACAAUGCCACCAUCCCUCCUCUCUCCUGCAGGAAACCCUAACGCACUUCAGCUGCUGCUUCCUUCUCCACCGCUACACACCCGAAAAUAAAAAACAAACACAUGACUACAAUUGUUUCUCUGCUGUAUAAAUGC
ensembl:lncRNA